rnacentral:ncRNA from 1 species
AUUUAUAAGAAUAUGAUGUUGGUUCAGAUUAAGCGCUAAAUAAGGACAUGACACAUGCGAAUCAUACGUUUAUUAUUGAUAAGAUAAUAAAUAUGUGGUGUAAACGUGAGUAAUUUUAUUAGGAAUUAAUGAACUAUAGAAUAAGCUAAAUACUUAAUAUAUUAUUAUAUAAAAAUAAUUUAUAUAAUAAAAAGGAUAUAUAUAUAAUAUAUAUUUAUCUAUAGUCAAGCCAAUAAUGGUUUAGGUAGUAGGUUUAUUAAGAGUUAAACCUAGCCAACGAUCCAUAAUCGAUAAUGAAAGUUAGAACGAUCACGUUGACUCUGAAAUAUAGUCAAUAUCUAUAAGAUACAGCAGUGAGGAAUAUUGGACAAUGAUCGAAAGAUUGAUCCAGUUACUUAUUAGGAUGAUAUAUAAAAAUAUUUUAUUUUAUUUAUAAAUAUUAAAUAUUUAUAAUAAUAAUAAUAAUAAUAUAUAUAUAUAAAUUGAUUAAAAAUAAAAUCCAUAAAUAAUUAAAAUAAUGAUAUUAAUUACCAUAUAUAUUUUUAUAUGGAUAUAUAUAUUAAUAAUAAUAUUAAUUUUAUUAUUAUUAAUAAUAUAUUUUAAUAGUCCUGACUAAUAUUUGUGCCAGCAGUCGCGGUAACACAAAGAGGGCGAGCGUUAAUCAUAAUGGUUUAAAGGAUCCGUAGAAUGAAUUAUAUAUUAUAAUUUAGAGUUAAUAAAAUUAAUUAAAGAAUUAUAAUAGUAAAGAUGAAAUAAUAAUAAUAAUUAUAAGACUAAUAUAUGUGAAAAUAUUAAUUAAAUAUUAACUGACAUUGAGGGAUUAAAACUAGAGUAGCGAAACGGAUUCGAUACCCGUGUAGUUCUAGUAGUAAACUAUGAAUACAAUUAUUUAUAAUAUAUAUUAUAUAUAAAUAAUAAAUGAAAAUGAAAGUAUUCCACCUGAAGAGUACGUUAGCAAUAAUGAAACUCAAAACAAUAGACGGUUACAGACUUAAGCAGUGGAGCAUGUUAUUUAAUUCGAUAAUCCACGACUAACCUUACCAUAUUUUGAAUAUUAUAAUAAUUAUUAUAAUUAUUAUAUUACAGGCGUUACAUUGUUGUCUUUAGUUCGUGCUGCAAAGUUUUAGAUUAAGUUCAUAAACGAACAAAACUCCAUAUAUAUAAUUUUAAUUAUAUAUAAUUUUAUAUUAUUUAUUAAUAUAAAGAAAGGAAUUAAGACAAAUCAUAAUGAUCCUUAUAAUAUGGGUAAUAGACGUGCUAUAAUAAAAUGAUAAUAAAAUUAUAUAAAAUAUAUUUAAUUAUAUUUAAUUAAUAAUAUAAAACAUUUUAAUUUUUAAUAUAUUUUUUUAUUAUAUAUUAAUAUGAAUUAUAAUCUGAAAUUCGAUUAUAUGAAAAAAGAAUUGCUAGUAAUACGUAAAUUAGUAUGUUACGGUGAAUAUUCUAACUGUUUCGCACUAAUCACUCAUCACGCGUUGAAACAUAUUAUUAUCUUAUUAUUUAUAUAAUAUUUUUUAAUAAUUAUUAAUAUUAUUAAUUUAUAUUUAUUUAUAUCAGAAAUAAUAUGAAUUAAUGCGAAGUUGAAAUACAGUUACCGUAGGGGAACCUGCGGUGGGCUUAUAAAUAUC